AACGUAGGAGGCAAGCGUUAUCCGGAUUUACUGGGCGUAAAGGGCGUGCAGGUGGUGGUCUAAGUGGUGCGUGAAAAGCGCUCGGCUCAACCGGGCGAGGGCGUGCCAAACUGGGUCACUAGAAACAGGCAGAGGAAAGUGGAAUUCGGGGUGUAGUGGUGAAAGUGCGUAGAGAUCGGGAGGAACACCUGUGGCGAAGGCGGGUUGCUGGGCUGACACUGACGCUGAUGCGCGAAAGCUAGGGGAGCGAACGGG
rnacentral:rRNA from 1 species